UUCUAUAUUCUGCUCUUCUCUGGUACUCGACGUUUUAUGCACCAAAGAAUCAGAUGUUGGACGAUGAUGAGGAUGUUACUUUUCUGCCAGCACCACCAACAGAGAGGAGUUCCGGCGCUGUUCUGAUAUCAACAGAGGACGCGGUAUUAGACAAUGAAAAUCAGCAAGUAGCAAGAGCACGUGAACAGAAAGAAUUCUAGAAGCUUUGGAGGUUAUUGGGAUUCUGUUAUACAUUCUUCGUGCAGCCUAUAUUCUGCCAUUUUCCUUUUCCUUUUUAAUUAUAUUUACACAACUUGGCUAAUCGAAUUUGUUAGAUAAUAUUCUUUUGUAACACUAUAUAUACGUAUCCUGCUGCACGGUCAUAAUUAUUAGAAUGAAUGAAAUCAGGAAAUUCUCCAGGGCUUAACUUUCUACUAUUCUGAAUUAUUCAUCUUUCCUCUGUUUUUUUUUUCCUUAUAUGGUAUCAGAGCCAACAAUGGUGGAUACUGAAAUCUCUGAUCCAAAUUCUCCUGAAAAUCUAAAUCCAAAUCCAAAUCCAAAUUUAAAAGCAAACUCAUCUAGUGAAUCAGCAAUUUUUUCUCAUGAUCCUAUCUUACCAAGCAGUCCUUAUUACAUUAGUAGCAGUGAUGGAAGUGGUGCUGUGUUAGUCUCUCAUAUACUGGAUGCAAGCAACUACUAUACCUGGGCUAGUUCGAUAAAAAGAGCUCUCAGAAUUAAAAAGAAGUUGGGUUUCAUUGAUGGCAGUAUUCAUGAACCUUCAGACCAAAACGAUCCCCUCAUGGAGCAUUGGUUACGGUGCAAUGAUAUUGUGAUCACUUGGAUGCAAAACACAAUGGUAGUAGCUAUCAAGUGCCGCACAACAUAUGUAUAGACGGCUCGUGAACUCUAGUUGGAUCUUGAACAACGUUUUGUGCAACAGAACGCACCGAGAGUAUAUGAAGUUAAUCAAAGUAUAACAUCUCUAGUCCAGAAUCAAGAUGAUGUAAGUGUUUAUUUCUCCAAACUUAAGAGUCUCUUGGAUGAGUUAAUGAAUUAUGAGUCAAUCCCUAGUUGUUCCUGUGGGGACUUAAAAAUUGUUAUGCAAAAUCAAAAGAGAGAUUGGGUUAUGAAAUUUCUAAUAGGUCUAAAUGAUUCAUACAUGGAACUUAAGGUGCAGAUUUUGCUGAUUAAGCCUUUUCCUUGUUUGAAUGAGGCAUACUCCAUUAUAAGCAAAAAGAGAAGAAAACAGAUAUGCUCUGAUGGGAUGAUCAAUGAUCCUAUGGCAUUCUUGGUAAAAGGAAGUUUCAAAGAUAGAAGGAGAAACCCAUCCGUUCAGAAAAGAGACAAAUACUAUUGCACCUACUACAAGAUGGCUAGGCACUCCCUUGAGAGAUGCUUUAAGGCUAAUUCGAAUAAAUCAACUGCUCCUACUGCAAAAUGCCUGGCCACACUAUGGACAAGUGUUACAAAUUACAUGGGUAUCCACCAGGCAACAAAACAGAUGGAAGAAACAAAUCCUCGGCAUCUUUUGCUAACCAAGCCACUACACUUAUACCUUCUAGUCAAGAACAGGUAAUGGCACAAGCCAAAUGUCUUUAACUCAUUAGCAAUAUGCUCAGCUCAUGGCACUGCUGAAGCCACUAAGUCAGCAAACUUCCAUUCAUUCUGUAAAUCAAGUUCAAGCUGUUAUUCCGCCUCAUCCUAACAAUGACAACAUGCCCAAAAUCUCUGGUACUUCUUUAUGUCUUUCUGCUUGUAACGGUAAAUUUUCUAACUCGUUUACAGCUCCUUGGAUACUAGAUACAGGACCUAGAGAUCAUAUGAUAUGUGCGACCUCUUUUUUUAUCGCAAUCAAAGUUAAAGUUUCUUAUUCAGUAGCUUUCCCAAAUGGUGCGUAAGUUCCUAUCACUCACAUUAGGACAGUGAAGUUUUUAGAAUCUCUAAUCCUUGAUGAAGUUCUCUGUGUCCCAUCAUUUUCUUUUAAUCUCAUUUCAGCUAGAAGGAUAGCACAAACCAUGAACUGUUGUCUUAUUUUCCUCUCUAACUUGUGUUUUAUACAGGACCUUCUGACUUGGAAAAUGAUUGGAAUGAGUGAAGUAAAGCAACGCUUCUAUCACCUACUACAAAAAGGAAUGCCUUCUUCAGCUUCGACAAAAAAGUUAGCUCUUAUCACCCAUAAACUGCCCGCAUCUGCUUCUACCAUUUUUAAUAAUGCUGAGGACUUUGAUCUCUGGCACAUAUUCCAAGCUUGACCAUAUUCCAAAAUCUACUAAACAACCAUGCUUUAUUUGCCCUUCAGACAAUUUACAUAGAUUGCCAUUUCAUACCAGUGAAGAUAGAUCAGAAAAAUGUUUUGACCUCAUACAUUGUGAUAUUUGGGGACCAUGUAAUGAGAAUAGCUAUGAAGGUUUUCGAUAUUUCCUAAGUAUUGUAGAUGACUUUAGUAGAUGUCCGUGGACUCAUUUAUUGAAAUUGAAAUAUGAUGCUAGUAAUGCUUUACAAGGAUUUUGUUCAAUGGUUGAAACACAAUUUGGAACUAAAGUCAAAAUCAUUAGAUUGGAGAAUGGAGGUGAAUUUGACAUGAAACAAUUUUAUUUACAAAAAAGAAUCAUUCACCAAAGAACAUGUGUAGAAACCCACCAACAAAAUGCGGUAGCCAAAAGAAAACACCAACACAUCUUAAACUUGGCAAGAGCUUUGAAAUUCCAAAGUGAUGUCCCAUAAAGAUAUUGGAGUGACUGUAUACUCACAGCUGUGUACAUCAUAAAUAGAACCCCGACACCUCUUCUGGACAACAAAACCCCUUUUGAGAUUCUUUUCAAAUCAAAGCCUAACUAUACUCAUCUCAAAGUUUUUGGAUGUCUUGCCUUUGCUACAACUCUAGUGAAUGGUAAACAUAAGUUUGACCCUAGAGCUAGGAGGUGCAUAUUUUUGGGAUACCCCUUCAGGAUCAAGGGUUACAAAUUAAUGGAUUUGGAAACAAAGAAAACCUCCAUAUCUAGAAAUGUGAUUUUUCUUGACAAUGUGUUCCCAUACAAACAAGCUACUAAUACCAGCUUUGUUUGCUCCCCAAAUCUAGCUCAAAGUUUCAUUUCUCGAACUCCAAUUACCACUCAGUCAGAAUUUGCAAUAAACAAUCCAAAUCCUACAUUCACUAACUCUACAGCAACCCCCGAUCAAACUCAAACAACAGACACUUCAUCAGACACCACAAACUCUCCAAUGCCCACACAAGAACUAAAUGUUGAGCCAUUUGAACCUCCAAGUACAUCAGAACCAAACACAACUCCAACUCAAAACCAGUUCUCAAAUCAGCCUUUACCUCGAAGGUCAAACAAAAUUAAAAAAGAUUCCCACACACUUACAGGAUUUUGUUUGUCAACAAGCAGCUCUACUUCUCCAUUCACAAGAAUUGGACAGGCAAAAGGUCACAAUUUCUUCAGGUAAUCCCUUUCCUCUAAGAGCUACUUUAUCUUAUCAUAACCUCUCCACUCCACUCCACACAAAGCAUUUGUUGUUUCCAUUAGCACACAUACAGAAUCUAAAAAUUUUGAGGAAGCUUUAGAGCCUCCUGAGUGGUGUAGUGCCAUGGAGCUGAAAUAGAUGCCCUUGAAUUAAAUGAUAGUUUUGUCAUCAUUGACCUACCUCCUGGUAAAAAGGCUAUAGGUUGCAAGUGGUUUUUAAGAUUAAAUUUAAUGCUGAUGGAAAUAUAGAAAGAUAUAAAGCAAGGUUGGUAGCUAAAGGAUAUACACAACAGGAGGGUCUUGACUAUCAUGAAACCUUUUCUCCUGUAGCGAUACAGGUUAUAGUGCGGAUAUUGUUGGCUGUAGCAGUAAUAAAAGGGUGGCAUCUAUACCAGUUUGAUGUGAACAAUGCAUUCCUACAUGGAGACUUAGAGAAGCCAGGAUAUCCUAAUGCCGAUAGAUCAAAGGUUUGUAAAUUGAAGAAAAGUUUGUAUGGACUCAAACAAGCUUCCAAGCAAUGGAAUUAUAAAUUGUCUAACUUCAUUGUUGGACAAGGUUUUACACAGUCCAAGGCAGAUUAUAGCUUAUUCACAAGAACCACAAAUCAUUCCUUCACUGCUAUCCUAGUAUAUGUCGAUGAUAUCAUAGUGGCCAGUAGUUGUAUGGAUACCAUUAACACUCCCAAAACUACUCUUCAUGAUAAGUUCAUAAUCAGAGACUUGGGACAAUUGAAAUACUUCCUUGGAGUUGAAGUGGCGAGGUCAGAUCGAGAAAUUUAUAUAUGCCAGAGAAAAUAUGCACUUGACAUUUUGGAAGAUUUAGGUAAAAUUGGUACAACACCAGCUAGAAUCCCACAUGAUCAAAAUCUAAAGCUUUCCAAGUACGAAGGUAAACUUCUUUCUAAUCCAUCGAUUUACAGGAGGAGGCGAUUGUAUUUAACCAUAACAAGACCUGAUUUGUCUUACUCAGUACAAUUGUUAAGUUAAUUCAUGGACUGUCCCAGAUUACCUCAUCUUAAUGUAGCCCAUAGGGUCUUAAGGUACAUUAAAGCAGCUCCCGGACAGGGCUUAUUCUAUCCUGCUCAAAUAGAUCUUCAAUUAAUGGGUUAUUGUGAUUCAGAUUGGGGAGCAUAUCAAGAUACAAGGAGAUCGAUUUCUGGUUAUUGUGUGUUUAUAGGAUCUUCUUUGGUCUUCUGAAAGUCCAAGAAGCAAGGGGUUGUGUCCAGAUCUUCUACCGAAGCAGAAUACUGAGCAAUGACAAAUUUGUGCUGUGAGUUAACUUGGAUGAGAUAUCUGAUAAAUGAUUUCCAAAUCAAACACCCGCAAUCAGCAACUAUCUUCUAUGAUAACAAAGCUGCACUCCAUAUAACAUCAAAUCCUGUCUUUCACGAGAGAACCAAGCACAUUGGGCUUGAAUGCCAUCUUGUACGAGAUAAGAUCCAAAAUGGGACUAUAGUCACUGCACAUGUCAGUAGUGGGAUGCAAAUUGCAGAUCUAUUAACCAAAUCAUUAAGUUCUCCAAGUUUUAUGCUCACUCGUUCAAGAUGGGAGUAGAAGACAUCUACUCUCCAUCUUGCGAGGGGUUAUUAGAAAAUGAAAAUCAGCAAGUGGCAAGAGCACGUGAACAGAAAGAAUUCUAGAAGCUUUGUAGGUUAUUAGGAUUCUGUUAUACAUUCUUUGUGCAGCCUAUAUUCAACUAUUUUCCUUUUUCUUUUUAAUUAUAUUUACACAGCUUGCCUAACUGAAUUUGUUAGAUAAUAUUCUUUUGUAACACUAUAUAUAUGUAUCUUGCUGUACAGUCAUAAUUAUUAGAAUGAAUGCAAUCAGAAAAUUCUCCACGGAUUAAUUUUCUAGUUUUCUUAAUUAUUCAUCUUUCUUCUGUUUUUUUUUCCUCUUAUACGCGAGGACCUCUGCACUGUUACUGUAGGGAAUAAAUUGGCCUAGGCUUUCUAAGAGUUUGAGCAGAUCUUCUUCAAAGGUUUGGGUUUCAUGAACUUAUAUGCAGCUUUAUGAUGAAAAUUGUGAAUCCUUUUGAGUUCUUUAUGCUAACUAAUGUGUUUUGUUGGUGAAGAAUAGGUAGAAAUUUGCUAAGGAAGAUUGGAUCUUUGUUGUUGAUGUGAAUGAGAAAUUUGAGUUUGUUGGGAAUGUUUUUGUGUAUUUGUUUGCUGAAAAAAAUACUGACAAAUACAAAGUUGACAAAAACCGAUGUAAUAAUCUUAAGAUUUUCUUGUGUUUUAUAAUGUGGUUCUUGUGACAUAGAAAAUGAAGAUAAGUUCUUUAACUGAAAAAGAACUUUCAGCAUCUUUUUAGGAUAACUUGACAUGUUUGGUUGCAGGUAAAUGUUAUGAGAAUCAAGUAACUGUUCAAGACAUUACAGGUUUUAUUUUGAUGGGCCGGUUAGAGGAUUUAAAGGAUGUCAUUGAAGAAAAGUACGAUGAUGGAGAAAUAGCGGUAAUGAAAUAAUUUUAUUGUUAAAUCUUGUAAUUUUGUUAGCAUAUUAAUAUGUGGUUAUCAUAAAACUACAAUGUUAAGUAUUAAUUCUUUGUGGUUGUAUAUAUUCUCACCGUACAUUGCUGUUUGAUUUGGGGGUGUUGUGUUCGUAGAUACAAUCACAUAUGUUGAGCCAUCUGUCUAAGACAGCGCCAUCAGGCCAUGACAGCAUUCAAAAAUAAAGGUUGUCGUUCUAAAAUGUGUAUCAUUAAAUGAUCUAUCCAGGUGAAGCAAUAAAUUCAGUAGAUGUGCAUUCGUUUUUGUAAUACAGGAUAUGAACGUUGAGGUGGUUGAUAGCAAUCUCUUAUAGCAGACUUAUGGCACUUCAGAUAAUGGGAAUUGUGGACAAUUAUAAAAGAAUUCAGGAGUUUUCAAUUGCCAUAACUGUCUGCAUAUAACUCCUACCUUUCUGAACUUCUGUUCUGGUAUAUAUUCACCUUUUCAAAAGUUAAGUGCACCAAAUUCUACUGCUCAUGAUUAAUAAUGUUAAUGAGUUGCGAAGUAUAACAAUAACCUGCAACUUUCUAAGGGAGAAUAUUUACAUGUAUCAUAGAAAUUCAUGCCUUUGAAUCUUAUGUACUUACUCGUACUUUGUAUGUUAAUAAUCUUUUGUAAUCUUUGUAUUGCUAUCUAUACUGAAUUGUACAUUUUACGGGGUUCAAUAAAAUUCAAUUAGCAAUGUUGCAGCCAAGUGGCGUCCCCUAUUGGAGGGGGCUAAAGAUGUGUUCUUGAUAGCAAGUCUCAAUCAGGAUAUAUGUUUACUCUCAAUAAUGGAGUGAUUAGUUGGAAGAGUUCCAAACAGGAGGCAACCAAUAAUUCAACAACAGAAGUCGAGUACAUUGCUGCUUCUGAAGCAGCGAAGGAAGUUGUCUGGAUCAAGAAGUUCAUUAAUCAACUAGGAGUCGUUCCUAGCAUUGAGGAUCUCAUACCUUUGUAUUGUGAAAGCAAUGGAGCCAUCGCACAAGCCAAGGAAUCGAGGUCUCAUAAUGAUCCAAACAUGUGCUAAAGCGAUAUCAUCACAUCAGUGAGAUUAUACAAAGAAAUGACGUAAAGAUAGAGCGAGUUCCCACGGAUGACAAUAUUACAGAUCCAUUGACAAAGCCAUUAUCACAAUAGAAACAUGAUUGUCAUGUAGACGCUUAUGGUAUUAGAUACAUGAGCGAUUGGAUCUAAUGCAAGUGAGAGUUUGUAGGUGUUAUAUCCUAGAUCCAAUCGAUUUACAUUGUAAACACUUCUAAUAUGUUUAAUGCAUUUAUUUUUGGCAAG
rnacentral:lncRNA from 1 species